AUACGGAGGGUGCAAGCGUUAAUCGGAAUUACUGGGCGUAAAGAGUACGUAGGCGGUUCGUUAAGUUAGAUGUGAAAGCCCCGGGCUUAACCUGGGAACUGCAUUUAAAACUGGCGAACUAGAGUUGAGUAGAGGGGAGUGGAAUUUCAGGUGUAGCGGUGAAAUGCGUAGAGAUCUGAAGGAACACCAGUGGCGAAGGCGACUCCCUGGACUCGAACUGACGCUGAGGUACGAAAGCGUGGGUAGCAAACGGGAUUAGAAACCCGAGUAGUCC
rnacentral:rRNA from 1 species